rnacentral:ncRNA from 2 species
AGGUGUACCUCGGGGGGCCAACAACUGGCUGAGAUGCAAUUAUGCGGACCCGUUGAACCUGAACCGGUUAAGACCGGCGGAGGGAAGGUUUAGCAUCCCCGC